rnacentral:antisense_RNA from 1 species
CUUGAUCGAGCCGAGCCAGAGCGGCUGGUCCUUCGGGCGGUCCUGGCCGUAGGUGGCGAGCAGCGCCUGUGCCUC